ensembl:lncRNA
GGGCGUUCUUCAAUAUUUAAUCAAGGGUGUGUUUGAAGAUCUGUCUGUGUGUGAGAGCAGUAACUGGAGAGGAGAAGGUUUAAGAUGAAAGACUUUCUUCACUCUCUUUUCUCACUUUCACAUGCAGACGCUCUUCUGUGGACUCAGCAUCAGACGGGACGCCCGCUGUCCGCCCGCUGACCGUCUGAUGCACGCUUCACCUGAAACACAAGCACUUUCUCAAUCUAGUAAACUCUAAUGUGACUGGCUGACUUUAUGGAGCUUCCAAGAAAGCUCCCAGGGUUUUUCUCCAGUCUGUUUGGAAAAGUUGUGUUGACUGAGGAUCAAAUCUUUCAAGAAUGAAAUCAUCGCUGGAUUUACCAAAGUUUGUGAGAUCCUCGAGACUGAACACCUGCCCUCUGUGUUCUUCCUGUCAUCCAACACCUCGGCGUUACACCUGAAAUUAGAGCACACACACACACCCACAACACACACACACACUCUGGUGUCCUCCAGGCAUGUGCUCCAUUCAGCCGUGUAGAGGUGAUCUUUCAUUUUGACAGAUCAUCAGCUUUUCUUUCAUGAGAUGUGGAGAUACUGGUUUGCCGAGCGCAACCGUUCGCUUUUAACAUCUUCAUACAGCGAGAAGCAGGCCUCGGCUUUAGAUCAGCUCUUGAAUCAUAAAAGCUUUGCUUAUUCCGAAAGCAUCCUGAAGAUUUCAGCUGCGUGGCUGAAGGGGCGGCACGGUUUCUGUCCCCUCAUGCAUCUGUGAGCAGCGUGGACGCCUGCCAAACUGUUAAUGGAUAACAACCCCAGGUCCAUCCACCCGUCAUCAGACACAAGCCAGAGCACCCAAACAAUCUGUGUCAAAUCAGAGAGCUGCUUCUGACCUUGAAACUGACACACAUCGAGCGAUAAGUCCACGAUGCUGGAAAACACUUGAUCUGUCUCGUAUGGAAUCAAGGAUUACGAACAGCAGUCUUAAGAGACAAACAGUCUGAUCAAUGCUUUAACACAGCGUCCCGUCCCAAGAAACAGCACAGAGCUGAGGACCAAACCAGUUCUAUUGAUGUGAACCUCGAACAUUGAUAUUGAUUUCCCACCGAUUCAUUUAUUCAGACAUGUGGGUCAUAGUAGAUGCUGAGAUCUGUCCCUUUCAGUGUGCAAGAAGACAGUCGUGUAGGUGCAAAGUUCAUGUUUAUUCAAAUAUAAAAUUGAUCCACUGAUCAUUUAGAUGUGACUGGAUUUUUUUACUUAUUAAAGAAAAAACAAUGUGUGUACACACACACACACACACACACACACAGUUUUUCUUUAAUAAGUGAAAAUUUUGAGUAAAAAGUAUAUAUAUAAUUCCAU